rnacentral:rRNA from 1 species
UGAGUAACCUGCCCUGGACUUUGGGAUAACCCUCGGAAACGGGGGCUAAUACCGGGUAUGACCGUCUGCCGCAUGGUGGGUGGUGGAAAGCUUUUGCGGUUGGGGAUGGGCUCGCGGCCUAUCAGCUUGUUGGUGGGGUGAUGGCCUACCAAGGCGACGACGGGUAGCCGGCCUGAGAGGGCGACCGGCCACACUGGGACUGAGACACGGCCCAGUCUCCUACGGGAGGCA